rnacentral:rRNA from 1 species
GAUGAACGCUGGCGGCGUGCCUAAUACAUGCAAGUCGAGCGAACAGACGAGGAGCUUGCUCCUCUGACGUUAGCGGCGGACGGGUGAGUAACACGUGGAUAACCUACCUAUAAGACUGGGAUAACUUCGGGAAACCGGAGCUAAUACCGGAUAAUAUAUUGAACCGCAUGGUUCAAUAGUGAAAGACGGUUUUGCUGUCACUUAUAGAUGGUUCCGCGCCGCAUUAGCUAGUUGGUAAGGUAACGGCUUACCAAGGCAACGAUGCGUAGCCGACCUGAGAGGGGGAUCAGCCACACUGGAACUGAGACACGGUCCAGAGUCCUACGGGAGGCAGCAGUAGGGAAUAUUCCGCAAUGGGCGAAAGCCUGACGGAGGAAAGGCGCGUGAGUGAUGAAGGUCUUCGGAUCGUAAAACUCUGUUAUUAGGGAAGAACAAAUGUGUAAGUAACUAUGCACGUCUUGACGGUACCUAAUCAGAAAGCCACGGCUAACUACGUG